rnacentral:rRNA from 1 species
GUCUCAAAGAUUAAGCCAUGCAUGUCUAAGUACACACGGCUGGUACAGUGAAACUGCGAAUGGCUCAUUAAAUCCGUUAUGGUUCCUUUGAUCGCUCCAACGUUACUUGGAUAACUGUGGCAAUUCUAGAGCUAAUACAUGCAAACGAGCGCUGACUCCUAGCGGGGAUGCGUGCAUUUAUCCGACCCAAAAAUCCAUCCGGGGUGCCUCUGUGGGCCCCGGCCGCUUUGGUGACUCUAGAUAACCUCGGGCAGAUCGCACGCCCUCCAUCUCAUUCAAAUGUCUGCCCUAUUAACUUUCGAUGGUACUUUCUGUGCCUACCAUGGUGACCACCAGUAACGGGGAAUGAGGGUUCGAUUUCGGAGAGGGAGCCUGAGAAAAGGCUACCAAAUCCAAGGAAGGCAGCAGGCGCGCAAAUUACCCACUCCUGACUCGGGGAGGUAGUGACGAAAAAUAACAAUACAGGACUCAUUUGAGGCCCCUGUAAAUGGAAUGAGUACACUUUAAAUCCUUUGACGAGGAUCCAUUGGAGGGCAAGUCUGGUG